AACGAACGCUGGCGGCAUGCCUAACACAUGCAAGUCGAACGAUUGCCUACGGGUGAUAGUGGCGCACGGGUGCGUAACGCGGGGGAAUCUGCCCUUAGGUUCGGAUUAACAGCUGGAAACGGCUGCUAAUACCGGAUGAUAUCGCGAGAUCAAAGAUUUAUCGCCUGAGGAUGCGCCCGCGUUGGAUUAGGUAGUUGGUGGGGUAAAGGCCUACCAAGCCGACGAUCCAUAGCUGGUCAGAGAGGAUGAUCAGCCACACUGGGACUGGGACACGGCCCAGACUCCUACGGGAGGCAGCAGUGGCGAAUAUUGGACUAUGGGCGCAAGCCUGAUCCAGCAAUGCCGCGUGAGUGAUGAAGGCCGUAGGGUUGUAAAGCUCUUUUACCCGGGAAGAUAAUGACUGUACCGGGAGAAUAAGCCCCGGCUAACUCCGUG
rnacentral:rRNA from 1 species